rnacentral:rRNA from 1 species
GAUGAACGCUGGCGGCGUGCUUAACACAUGCAAGUCGAACGGGAUCGGCUGGAGCUUGCUCCGGCCGUGAGAGUGGCGAACGGGUGAGUAAUGCGUGACCGGCCUGCCCCAUACACCGGAAUAACUCCUGGAAACGGGUGGUAAUGCCGGAUGCUCCGACAUGACGCAUGUCGUGUCGGGAAAGAUUCAUCGGUAUGGGAUGGGGUCGCGUCCCAUCAGCUUGAUGGCGGGGUAACGGCCCACCAUGGCUUCGACGGGUAGCCGGCCUGAGAGGGCGACCGGCCACAUUGGGACUGAGAUACGGCCCAGACUCCUACGGGAGGCAGCAGUGGGGAAUAUUGCACAAUGGGCGCAAGCCUGAUGCAGCGACGCCGCGUGCGGGAUGACGGCCUUCGGGUUGUAAACCGCUUUUGACUGGGAGCAAGCCCUUCGGGGUGAGUGUACCUUUCGAAUAAGCACCGGCUAACU